rnacentral:sRNA from 1 species
UAUUUUGUACAGAAUUCCUUGAUUUAAAAAAAAAUAAAAUAAAAGACAAUGGCAUACACUUGUGUAGCUAUUCCAAUAGCACUGGUGCAGAGUAAGGAAACUUAAAUAUGGACGAUAACAUUUCUUAGUUUUUUGUUUAAAAAGUAAUACAGCUUAAAAAAGCAUAGAAAAUCAACUUUAAUAUUAGAAAAAAUUUCUGUGUCAUCACACCGGACUUUCUCACAAUGGAUAUCACGAUAGCGUUCAAAUAUAUAAUGCUAUAUACAAGGACGUUGGACAGAAAUUUUUAUUGUCUGAUAUCGUCGGAACACUCAUAAGGGCUAUAUCGGUUCAUAUAUGGAUAAUUUGAUUUUAAAAUUCUGGGUGGUUAUCACUUUUGAUAUCACGUUAUAUCAAAUUUCUUGCAAAUCCCAGGCGAAUUUAACUUGUUGUUGCUGUCUAUAGAUCAAAGUGCUAAAAUUAGGAAAAAUAAAACAUAACAACAUUUCAUGCAAACAUAAUUGCCAAUAAGUCGUAAAAGAAAGAAUGAUCUGCAAGUAGCGAUAGAACAAAAGCUCUAGUGGAAAUCGAUCCCACAACACCCACACUAGUAAUUAAUGCUCAUUACCAACUCAGUUAUUGAGGCGCUACUUUGUGUUGGAUAGCUAUAUAUUACAUAUUUCUUGAUACCCAAAAUGCUAAAGCAAAUCAGGUAAUAAGCUAUAUAUUUCAUAUUCCAAUACUAUGUACACGGGAUAGCUGCGUGCACUACACAAGCUGGAACUUAAGGUACGAUCUGGGUGGUGUUCUUUGCUUAGCUGCUAUCGGGCGCGUCCACAGGUUGUGGAUAGUGGAAUGCUCCAAACGGAGCAACUACAUGGGCAGUCGCGGACAAUCAGUGGUAUCGAGCGGAGAGUCUCAGCGAGAGUUCGUGUGGCACCGGCUCUUCCACAAAUACUGAAUCCCCAUGAUGCUCUAUAUGUCAAGGAGAAAAAGAGUCUUGUGUUGCAUACAUUGUCGAUAUUGGGAAAGGUAUCAUCUAAACUGGAGAGUUAUGAGCUCAGUAUGCUGCACCAUCCUGAUCUUAAGCAAGUUAAGUAAAUUGUAAUGCAAUGAUGGUACCUACCUGUUGACAUUAGGACACCUCAGAUCUAUUGCUAAUAAACUAUUAUUUUCUUGC